AUUGAACGCUGGCGGCAGGCUUACCACAUGCAAGUCGAACGAGUGGCGGACGGGUGAGUAAUGUCUGGGAAACUGCCCGAUGGAGGGGGAUAACUACUGGAAAAGGUAGCUAAUACCGCAUACCAUCGGAUGUGCCCAGAUGGGAUUAGCUAGUAGGUGGGGUAAUGGAUCACCUAGGCGACGCUCCCUAACGGGUCUGAGAGGACGACCAGCCACACUGGAACUGAGACACGGUCCAGACUCCUACGGGAGGCAGCAGUGGGGAAUAUUGCACAAGGGGCGAAAUCCUGAUGCAGCCAUGCCGCGUGUAUGAAGAAGGCCUUCGGGUUGUAAAGUACUUUCAGCGAGGAGGCGUUACUCGCAGAAGAAGCACCGGCUAACUCCGUGCCAGCAGCCGCGGUAAUAC
rnacentral:rRNA from 1 species